rnacentral:snRNA from 1 species
AGCUUUGCGUAGUGGCAAUAUCAUAGCCAAUGAGGUUUAUCCAAGGGGCAAUUAUUGCUAAUUAAAGGCAACUCUUUAAAAAAC